rnacentral:rRNA from 1 species
UACGUAGGGGGCUAGCGUUGUCCGGAUUUAUUGGCGUAAAGAGCGUGUAGGCGGCCAGGUAGGUCUGCUGUGAAAACCUCGAGGCUCAACCUCGAGACGUCGGCGGAAACCAUCUGGCUAGAGUCCGGAAGAGGAGAGUGGAAUUCCUGGAUGUAGCGGUGAAAUGCGCAGAUAUCAGGAAGAACACCGGAGGCGAAGGCGGCUUGCUGGGCUUGGUCGUGACGCUGGAGGCGCGAAAGCCGUGGGGAGCGAACAGG